UACGUAGGGUGCGAGCGUUAAUCGGAGUUACGGGGCGUAAAGCGUGCGCAGGCGGUUUUGUAAGGCAGAUGUGAAAUCCCCGGGCUCAACCUGGGAAUGGCAUUUGGGACUGCAAGGCUGGAGUGUGGCAGAGGGGACUAGAAUUCCUGGUGUAGCAGUGAAAUGCGUAGAUAUCAGGAGGAAUACCGAUGGCGAAGGCAGGUCCCUGGGUUAACACUGACGCUCAUGCACGAAAGCGUGGGGAGCAAACAGG
rnacentral:rRNA from 1 species